GCGCUGAUGGACGUAGGAAGUGUUACAAACAGCUGAUGGAUCGGCGAAGCGUGUUUCUGGAAUAUCAUGUUUUUGUUGCUGCAAGUGAUUUUUAUGCAGUUUUUGCAAAGCUAUAUGUGGAAGGAAACUGUGACCUAGGACAAGCUGAUGGCAUAAGAUACUCCGCCCCUACCUGAUAAUAAGCUGAUCACACCUGCGAGAGAUCCCAGAGAGGCCAAUAAGAGGGCCUGGCAGACCAAAGGAAGGGGUUCGACCGAGAGGCAAGAGAGGACUGAAGCAUGAAGGCACCCAUGAGUGUCACGGGAACCCACGAGAGCCUGGAGUGACACGGAGGCUUAAGAGAUGAGGCCUGAGAGGCCUGACGUGAGGCUUCAGGGUGAAGUCACAGAGGCGUGACACAUGGCGUGGGACAUGAGGCCUGACAUGAGGUUUGAGAGCGACACGAAAAGAGUGACACAUAAGACAGUUGGAGCUUGGCGUUCCAGAGAGCACGAUACAGCACCAGCAACUAGGCACGUGGAGCGAACAGUUGGACGGCAGUAGCAACAAGAGCCCAGCUUGUGCACUGCGGGAGAGCAGAGGUGGCAAGACAGCUGGUGCCAAUUUGCAGUUUUAAAGAAGCGGCGGGCGGAGUUGAGAGCUCUGCCCACCCGGGGUAAGUCUUCGACUUAUCCCCUUUUUACGAAUGAAAACUGCCUGAAAAGAAUAGUGACUGCCACUCCCUCCCUUUCUUCAGCGUACCGGGACGCGGAAUGUGGGGAGGAAGGCGAGGACUCCGCUGGGUUUCCCUUUUAUAUCACUUCGCUGGAUUUCUUAGCUCCCUGGGACUUUUAGGUCGUGGCGCAGGCCACUGGACUUUUAAUGUUGUGUUUUAUUGAUUUUUAUUGUGUUACCCCUUGGCCAACCCCUUUUUUUAAUUCAUUUUACAUUUUUAACUAUUUACAGUGGGGCAAAAAAGUAUUUAGUCAGCCACCGAUUGUGCAAGUUCCCCCACCU
ensembl:lncRNA